rnacentral:rRNA from 1 species
UACAGAGGGUGCAACCGUUGCUCGGAAUCACUGGGCGUAAAGGGCGUGUAGACGGACUUGCAAGUCAGGCGUGAAAUCCCUGGGCUCAACCCAGGAAUUGCACUUGAAACUGCAAGCCUUGAGUGUCGGAGAGGAAAGUGGAAUUCCUGGUGUAGAGGUGAAAUUCGUAGAUAUCAGGAGGAACACCGGUGGCGAAGGCGGCUUUCUGGACGACAACUGACGCUGAGACGCGAAGGCGUGGGGAGCGAACGGG